rnacentral:rRNA from 1 species
CCUACGGGCGGCAGCAGUGAGGAAUAUUGGUCAAUGGGCGGAAGCCUGAACCAGCCAAGUCGCGUGAGGGAUUAAGGCCCUGCGGGUCGUAAACCCCUUUUGCCGGGGCGCAGUGGUCCGGACGCGUCCGGACCGGGAGAGUACCCGGCGAAAAAGCAUCGGCUAACUCCGUGCCAGCAGUCGCGGUCAUACGGGGGAUGCGGGCGUUAUACGGAUGUAUUGGGGUAAAGGGGUGCGUAGGCGGGCAUUUAAGCCGGCGGUCAAAUGUCGGGGCUCAACCCCGGCCUGCCGUUGAAACUGGGUGCCUUGAGUGGGCGAGAAGUAUGCGGAAUGCGUGGUGUAGCGGUGAAAUGCAUAGAUAUCACGCAGAACCCCGAUUGCGAAGGCAGCAUACCGGCGCCCGACUGACGCUGAGGCACGAAAGUGCGGGUAUCGAACAGGAUUAGAUACCCGGGUAGUC